rnacentral:rRNA from 1 species
CCCGCUCAGAAACUCAAAUGAAUUGACGGGACCGCACAAGCGGUGGAUUAUGUGGAUUAAUUCGAUGCAACGCGAAAACCUUACCUACCCUUGACAUGUCCUGAAGCCUGGAGAGAUCCGGGUGUGCCCGAAAGGGAACGGGAACACAGGUGCUGCAUGGCUGUCGUCAGCUCGUGUCGUGAGAUGUUGGGUUAAGUCCGCUAACGAGCGCAACCCUCGCUGUAUGUUACAUGUGUCAUACAGGACCGCCGGUAUCAAGCCGGAGGAAGGUGGGGAUGACGUCAAGUCCGCAUGGCCUUUAUGUCCGGGGCUACACACACGCUACAAUGGUCGGUACAAUGGGUUGCUAAGCCGCGAGGUGGAGCCAAUCCCCCAAAGCCGGCCUCAGUUCAGAUUGCAGGCUGCAACUCGCCUGCAUGAAGCUGGAGUUGCUAGUAAACGCGCGUCAGCUAUAGUGCGUUGAAUACGUUCUCGGGCCUU